GCCUUCCCGGUGAGUCUGCGGGCUUAAACGGACGCGGUAAAGCGUGCUAAGGUAGCUAAAUUAUGGCCUAUUAAUUGUAGGUCCUGUGAAUGGUUUGACGAGUCUUCAACUGUCUCUAGUUUUUUUGGUGAACUUGAAUUGGAUGUGCAAAUGCUUCCAUGGGUAAGAAAGACGAGAAGACCCCGUGAAGUUAGAAAUUUUGGUUGUUGGUGAGCUUUGUUGGGUGCAGGUUAGGCCACUUUAAGUGGUUUGAAAGAAAAGUGAACAGCGAUAGUUUUGGCUGGGGCAGCAAAGAAGCAAGGUUAGACUUCUUUAGUUUAAGGACAGGUGUGUGACGACCCACAAGUUUGUUGGUGUGAUUAGCAGAAGAAGUUACUCCGGGGAUAACA
rnacentral:rRNA from 1 species